rnacentral:tRNA from 1 species
GGCCCCAUCAUCUAGUGGUCAGGAUACCAGGUUUUCAUCCUGGACACCGGGGUUCGACUCCCCGUGGGGUCACCA